GAGCGUGUAACUCAGUGGAUAGAGUAUCAGAUUCCGGACCUGAAAGUCGUGGGUUCAAUUCCCACCAUGCUCU
rnacentral:tRNA from 2 species